UACGAAGGGGGCUAGCGUUGCUCGGAAUCACUGGGCGUAAAGGGUGCGUAGGCGGGUCUUUAAGUCAGGGGUGAAAUCCUGGAGCUCAACUCCAGAACUGCCUUCGAUACUGGAGAGCUCGAGUCCGGGAGAGGUGAGUGGAACUGCGAGUGUAGAGGUGAAAUUCGUAGAUAUUCGCAAGAACACCAGUGGCGAAGGCGGCUCACUGGCCCGGUACUGACGCUCAUGCACGAAAGCGUGGGGAGCAAACAGG
rnacentral:rRNA from 1 species